CAACGCUCGCUGCUGAGCUCGAGCCGGCUGCACAACACAAGCGGGGGCGAGAGGCGGAGGCCCCCACGCCCACUCCCUCCCUCUUCACCAACCUGCCACCGACCCGACUCUCCCCAAUGGCGGGCUACCGCGGGGCCUCCUCCUCCGCGGCCGGCGCCGGCGGCGGGGCGGCGGCGUUCGCGACGCGCGUGCUACUCCUCCUGACGCUGCUGCCGCUCGCGCUCGCGGCCUUCGCCUUCGUGCUCCAGUGGCGCGGCGGCAUGCGCGACCCGACGGGGACCGCCUGGCCCGCCGACACCCAGCGGUUCCCCGGCAUGGAGAACAGCCCGCUCGGGUCCUCCUCCUCGGGUGGCGGGGGCUCCUACUUCGCAGUCACCUCCGCGUCGGGCUCCUCCGCGGCCGCCGACUGCGCCGAGAUCCUCGGCCGCAGCGCCUCCUCCCACGGCAUCUCCCUCUACCGAGGCUGGAGCUUCGACUCCGACGCCGCUAUAACCCCCAAGAUCUGCAUCACGGGAAGCACAUCUGCUAGCCUACACCAAAUUCUUCCAUGGUUAUAUUAUCACAAGGUCAUUGGUGUUUCACACUUUAUUCUAUUUGUUGAAGGAGAAGCAGCUAAACCAGCUGUUACUUCUGUUCUUGAAUCUAUUCGGGGUGUAAAAAUUAUUUUCAGAACUAAGGAACUAAAAGAGCAACAGGACAGAAGCCGCAUUUGGAAUGAGACUUGGCUUUCGGGUUUCUUUUACAAGCCGUGCAAUUAUGAACUAUUUGUUAAGCAGUCACUUAAUAUGGAAAUGGCUAUUGUUAUGGCAAGGGAUGCUGGAAUGGAUUGGAUCAUACAUCUUGACACUGAUGAGUUAAUUCAUCCAGCGGGUGCCCGAGAGUACUCUCUGAGGCGAUUGCUUUUAGAUGUUCCUGAUAAUGUUGACAUGGUUAUCUUCCCCAACUAUGAGAGCAGCAUUGAGAGGGAUGACAUCAAAGAUCCUUUUACCGAGGUUUCCAUGUUUAAGAAGAACUAUGAUCAUCUUCCGAAGGAUACAUAUUUUGGCCUAUACAAAGAAGCAACGCGCGGUAAUCCAAACUACUUCCUCACUUAUGGUAAUGGGAAAUCAGCGGCAAGGGUCCAGGAGCAUAUGCGUCCAAAUGGUGCCCAUAGAUGGCAUAAUUACAUGAAAACCCCAAAUGAAAUCAAGUUGGAGGAGGCUGCUAUUCUGCAUUACACUUACACAAAGUUCUCGGACUUAACUUCAAGAAGGGAUAGGUGUGGCUGCAAACCAACAAAGGAGGACGUGAAGCGUUGUUUUAUCUUGGAAUUCGACAGAUUGGCCUUCAUAAUUGCGUCAACAGCUACCGAGGAAGAGAUGAGGAACUGGUACCGGGAACAUGUUGUAUGGACUGACAAAGAUACCAAUUUGAAACUUUUGAGGAAAGGCGUUUUAACACGCAUAUAUGCGCCAAUGGCUAUUAUUCGUGGUCUCAAGGAAUCUGGCAUCUUCACUGCUGCAGUAACUUCUGCAAAAGCAAAUUCCAAAGUGAAGUCAUCGAACAGUCUUGAAAACAAGUCUGUCCACGCAAAUGUAACAGCUGCUCGAUCCACAACAUUGAAUGAACGUGGUAGUCACAAUUCUCAAGCAACCGCAAGAAAGGUUCUGGAAAUGGUUGAUAUUCAGGAAGGAGCGAUGCCACCAAUGUCACCCCCUGGUUUCCUUGAGCUCGUCGAAAGUGCGUUGUCAUGAAUGUGAGAUUCUGUAAGCAUGCUUGAUUGUUCUUGGCUUUCGACGAGCAGCUCUUCCGAGCCGAGGUACCUAACCAUACAGUGGUGACUGCUGAUCAUGUAUCUCUUCUUUGGUGCAGACUGCAGGUUGCCACUACUCAGCUAGUUCACCUUUAUGUAUAGAUAGCGCUAGGGUCGCUUGGCGACGUGUUGUUGUGUUAACUCCGGAUGUCAUAUGUUGUAUCUCGCUCUUAGUAUGGAUGAGAGGUUACUGCAUGCUAAGAACAAUUAGUUGAACUACCUGCUGGGAAAUGAAGCCUGAACAGUUGCUUUUCUUGCCAUGUUUUCUGGACGAAAUUGUUGUGGAUACAGCAGAAUAUACGUGUAUGACAAACUUGGAAAUUUAGCUCAAACUCUGUCGAGCACGAAUUAGUCUAGACUUCACAAAAAAGACCCAGCUCUAAUGCGCACAGUCGAUUGGUGGAACUAAAAUUUAAAUAAAAAGUGUAGAACAUCACUUUUUUUUAGGAAAUAUGUAGAACAUCACUUAUUUUCACA